UACAGAUAACUUGAACUCAGAAGUCCUAAAUGAAGUGGUUGAAGAAAGAUCUCUAGUCCACAGAUAUUACAUGUUAAUAUAGCCUGGAACACACAAGGACAUUCCAGAAGCAUUCUGAUGCUGUACCAUUAUUCACAAAAGACAAGCUCUGUAAACUGGAUACAGAAGAAAAAGCAGGUGACACCCAUGAGCAGCUCUCUCAUUGAGACUCUUUGAUUCAGGUUGUUAAAUCUGAGAGGAGCCAAAAGCAUUAGGGAAUGUCUGUGGGUGUGCCAAGAAAGACCCACUCACCCACCCAGUCAGCACAGUAAACUGUUACACUACAAUGUCAUUCAGGUGAAUACAAUGGUUUCAGAACUAA